UCUUCAUCUGACUUUGAUCUUGGCCACUGUCCAGUCUUAAACGAUCCUCACACUUCUCAGAGCUCCUCUUAUUUAUGAGGUGGGCGAUUAGACUGGAUAGCUACCUGGAAUAGUCCAGCUCUGGCUGCUCAUCACAGUCUGCAUGAGGAUCCUGAACACCAUCCUGUUUUGCUACGGCUCCCUGUGCUCCAGAACCAUGUGUCUGGUCACAUGGUAUCCUUUCUAGACCCACUCCUUACCGUUCUCUUGUAAAUCAUUUGUUGUGUCACGUAUGAUGAGUCACAGAUGAGUGCCACGUCCUCCCUGUUUUUUUCCUUCAUGAUUUCAAUGGCAAACUUGAUAUUUUGGCUCCUAAACUAAACAGAGAUAAAUCCUUUCCUAGCAUAUGCCUGUUUACUGACACAUUAGAAGGAGUUGACUUUUAUACCAUGACUGUGAAAGGAUGAUUGAUUCCUUAGUCUUGCUUUCAAGAAAGUCUGGUGUAGAUGAAAGACCUUCAGGGCCCCUUUAUAACCCCUAAGAGGAAAAGAAAUGUAUGUUUCUGAGACUGAGAAUCUGGGCAAGUUUUGAAGUGUUUUAAUAAGAAAACAAAUAUCCAAGGGAAGAAGAAUAUCUAACUUUCUUCUUUUUGCUUUCUUUCCUAGGGUAUAUUUCAUCCUACACAGAGUUGCUCAAAAGUACUGUGGCUCUUUUAAAAGGGGAGCCACAGAGCUUGGACUCCCGUGUGGAGCAGUGUGAGCCCAGGGCAGGUGUUUCUCAGGAGCGCCGUGCAAAGCUGCAUGAGUCAGCUUGGUAGCUGGCUUGCUUCAUGGCUCAGAAAACAAUGAAGUACUGGAGGGAGGCUGUGGGGAGAGCAUCAGCAAAGAACCCCACUGUUUUUAAGUUUUUUUAAGACCUAGGAACAAUGGAAGAUGAACGAAUGUAAGGAUAGGUGGACUGGAACAAAGACAGAAGUUAGGUCCCUCCCUGAAACAGGAUGGAAAGCAUGGUGUUCUGAAAGUAAGGAAUGUCAAAUGUGGCUAGACAAAAACCCAUCACAAUCAAUAUCAUCGGGCUACAAAAGGAGUCUACUUGUCUACAGUGUACAGAACAGGCUGAGGUCACACUUUUCUUGAAGCCUCAUGUGAUGGAAGGGGCAAAGGAACUCUCUAGGAGAUUUUCUUUGUAAGGUUACCAGGUAGUGCCCUCAACAGAGAUCAUUUCUACCCAGUGCCUCAUCUCCCAACAUCAGUACAUUUGGAAUUUGGACCCAACACGUGAAUUUUGGGAAGAAGAACUUUUGGAAGAGGACAGAAGAGAGUUUCUGUCAUCUGGAAUAGGGACUCCUGUGUGAAGCUGGGAACUCCUGGGUUGCUGUUGUUAGUGUGAAGUCGGUGAACUGAAGAACUGCCUGGUGGACCUAAAGAAUUCAGGAGGAUCCUGUUGUGGCAUCUCACUUGCUGGCAAGUCGGACGUCCCACAAAAUGGUGCCGAAACCCGGGAAGUAACAUCUUCAGGCACGAGCGAAGACCCCCUGUUACAGGAAGUCUAGAAGCAGAUUCUGGGCCAGGGUCCACAUUUCAAACUAUGCCUGGAGGGACUAACACCUUCCUCAGAGCCUGUGUGCAGGGCUGGAAGGUCUGAUGAUUUUAUGGGCUGUCCUGACAGAGAUUAUUGGAGACUCCUUUGGUCUGCUGAUGUGAGUUGAACCAGGGAUGGUGAAAACCAGGGGACAGAGAAGGGUAACUAGGGGCCUGAGUGUCAGCUCCAAGUCCCUUCUCCCUGGAUGAUUUUUCAGGAGCCUUGAGCUCAGUCUAGUUACAGAAUCUUCUUCACCAUCUGCUAGUUAUAACACUCCUAAACCCUUGAGCUGAUGCCUGAGAGGAGUGGUUGUCUGGGAGGAUUUGGAGGAAGGCACAUGCAUGAAGACGAAUGGCCAUUUAAUCGUGAGUAAGAGAUGAAGAGAUGGGAGGAGGUUUGUCUGGGAGGAGGCAAUGAUCUGGUUGAUGAUUCUUUUGCUUCUAGAGGGAGAUUUUGGAACUACUGGGCAAUGCCUCUGGUACUCUAUUGUUCUAUCAAACCUCAUCCUGGCCCUGUGACUUGGGCUCCAAAUUUCCUCCCCUUGUCGUUAUAGAGCAGGCAAGUUGCACAACAUGUAUAUCAAACCCUGUCUCUCAGACCACACUUCCUUUUUGGUCCCCAAUGAGUAGAAGAAAUAACUCACUAUAGAAAUUGUUAUGCUGGGGGUGUGGCAUAGUGAUGACGAUACUGAUGAUGAUGUUGGCAAAGGAAAUGAACAAAGCAAAAGAGGAAGUCGGCAAAGCCAGGAUGGUGACGGGCACUCUAGCUUUUGGGGAACUUUUCAGCUCUUGACUCACUCAGCACUUUUAAGCUGUAAGGUUCCCUCUGUUCUGACAUCUCAUUCCUCCAAGAUGGAGGCAGGCAUUUCUUCAAAGCUGAAAGUGCCUUGCUACCUGUUUUACUUACUUUCUAUUGCUGUGAUAACCAUGACUACUGUGCAGCCCAGACUGGCUUCAAGUACAUGACAAUUCUCCUGCAUUUGUCUCCCAAGGACUGAGAUUACAGGCACGAGCUCCCAGGCCCAGUUGAUGUAUGUGUUCUACAUCUUCUUUACUUAUCCUCUUGCUCAGAACAGAGCUAAGCAAUGACUGUCCUCAUUACUUUCUCCAGACCUUGUCUUAUUCCUUAAGUUGACGACUUAGCACAGGCCUUAGGGGUCUGUUCUUUCCCUCUCAUCUUUUCUGUCCUGGUUAGUUUUAUGUCAACUAGACACAAGCUAGAAUCAUCAGAGAGAAGGGAGCCUUAACUGACAAAAUACAUCCAAAAGAUCUGUCUGUAGGCAAGCCUGUAGGAAAUUUUAUUAAUUGGUAUUUACUUGGGGAGAAAUCAGCCUGUUGUGGGUGGUGCCAUCCCUGGGCUGGUGGUCCUGGGUUCUAUAAGAAAGUAGGUUGACAAGCCAUGAGGAGCAAGCCAGUGAGCAGCAUCCCUCCAUGAUCGCUGCAUCAGCUCCUGGUUCCAGGUUCCUGCCUUGCUUGAGUUCCUGUCCUGACUUCCUUUGAUGAUAAACUGUGAUGUGGAAAUGUAAGCAGAAUACAUCCUUUCCUCCCCAAGUUGCUUUGAUCAUGGAGUUUCAUUAUAGUAAUAGUAACCUAAAUGAAAAUGAAUUGGCACCAAGAUUUACUGUGACAUGACUGUGACAGACCUGAGCAUAUUGUUUUGGAAGGACUUUGUACAAGAAAACCCAUAGAGUGGUCAAUUCUUGGUGAGCUGUUCCUAGGAACUUGGAAGAUAGGGACGUUGAGGGCAACACAAAGAUGGAGGCCUGACUUGUGAAGCUUCAGAAGGAAGCUUAAAGACUUCUUCAGGGCCAUUUGUUAUAUUGAAUUAAGAUUCCGUGAUAACAUAAUAUCUCAUUAGCUGGGGCUGAAGAAUAGGCAUCGAUAAACAAGAUUCCAGAACCACUAAAAAUGAAACCUUUGCUUUGCUUAGAUACUCAGUGCUGGUGAGCUGGAGCUGAGAAAUUAGCAGUGACUAAGAAAAGUCCAGCAUUAUUGAGGUGAAAUCUUCUGGGAAGUGUUUUCUGAGAGCACACAGAAGCUGUUUUCCAGAGAUGGCCAAAGUUGUAUUUCUCCACUGGCAGCCAAAUUUGGUCCUGUGGAAGAGCCACCCAGGUGACACUGGUUCAUGGAAGAGCAGCUGAGUCUUGGCACUGACAAUACAGCCUCAGUGGCAGCUGAAGGCCCAGGAUUGAAAGGGUCAUACAGAGAAGUUGAGGCUUGUCACCAUGAAGAGAGCCCAGGAGAGUACUGGUAUAAGUCCAGCCCAGUUGCAGCAGAAGACCCCAGCAUUUUGGAGAUGCAAGUACCAUGGGAUGACCAUCAAGAACAGCAGCAGCAGUGGAGUGGAGCCAGCCAAAUCCUAAAAGACAAGCUGUUUGUGCUACAAAGGGCUGAGCUGCAGAAGUAACUCAAGCCCCUUAGAGGAUCCCAGAAGAUCUUGAGUGCAUCUUUGACGUUGGAACAUGCACUAUUUACAUUUUUGGAGUUUGGUUUUGCUUUGCUUUGAUUGCGAUUUUGACCUAGUUCUUCUCUCUUGAAAUAUAAUUUAUUUUUGAUUUUACAGAAGUCCAAAGUUGAGAGACUGAAUUUUAAAAGAGAUUGAUUAUUUUAAAGAGAGAGAACUUUUAAUGUAUUUGAAUUUGUGAGGAUUGUGGGACCUUUAAGUUGUUAAUGUUUUAUAUUGUGAUAUAAAUAUUAACAUAACAUCUUGGGGAUAAAUGAGAAAAGAAAGGUUCUAAUUAAAAAGUGAUAAGUUGGGCCUUGAGCUCAGCAAUUUAGAGCACUGGCUGCUUAUCCAGAGGUCCUGAGUUCAAGUCCCAGCACCCACAUGGUGGCUAACAGUAUCUGUAACAGUAGUCCCAUGGGAUUUAAUAAACUCUUCUAGUGUGUAGGAGUACAUGCAGACAAAAACACCCAUAUACAUAAAAUAUAUAAAUAAAUAAAUCUAGGAAUCAAUGCAAAAAGCCAUUUGAUUCCAUCAACAGAGGUUGAAGAGGUUGCAUAGCUCCUGAGCCAUGAUUAGAACAACACCUCAUAUGCACACAUGGACAGGAUGACCUGGUCUUGGAGUUGGCCUUCUUGUGAAACUUGUCUUCAUUUGGGGGUUCCCUAAAGAGAAAUACAGAAGAGCAAUGCAAAAGUAUUGAUUGAAAAAAAAAUGUCAAGAGGCACAUUUUCAGGAAUGGCAUUUGAUGGAUUAGGACUUUGUUUUCGUUUUGGCAGGUGGUGCUGUCUACAUGCUGAGUUUUACAGCCUGAAUGGCAUUUCCAUCAUGGGAUCAGUUGUUUUAAGGUCUGGGGCCUACUAAGGUCUGAGAACCUGUUACAGUCAGCAGCAGCACUUGGAAGAUUGGACCCGACAAGACACUACUCUCAGAAAAGCCGUGUCCCAGAGGAUGGAGUGGGAAUAAGAGGAAAGCAGAGGUCAGCCCAAGGAAAAGAAGUCUCUGUCUGUGAGCGGGGGCUGCUUCCCAGAAAAGACAACACCCAGUGACCUACUUAGCAAAUGGAAACACAAACCAGAGAAAUCAGCCAAGGUCAUGGAUACACAGCCUCUCCUGACCAGCUAACUCCAGGUGUUCAGAGCAAGAACAAAAUGUGCUGACAUGAGGGAGUUCCCUUAAACUUCCCUGGGCAACAAAUCACAGACUGUUGAAUUUCUUGCUUUUCUAAGACUUUGUUAAAUAAAUGGCAGCAGCAAGCUGAGGUCCAGUCUAUAUGUGCUUUCCUGGUUUGGAUGAAGGCAACAUCUAAGAACAGCUCUUCCCCGGCCUUUAAAACAAAAUUUUCCCGAAGUUAAAAGAGAGAAAUACAUUCUUCCUGCUGGAUAUCACAUUUAAAGGUUUAGGACAUCCAGCAACUGACAGGAGUUUUAGAAAUGACAAAGAAAAUCUCUUCACAUUUAAAAAAACGGAACUCAAACCAGGAGAAGGAACCUGAACCCUGGUGAUGCAGAAGCCUGCUUCCAUUCCUCACCAUCUGGUCCCCACUGCCGAAGAUCCUCACACCCAGCAAACGCCGGGCACGACUCUCUUUUCAUUGUUUGCUUUCCAGAACUAUCAUUGGAACCAAGAAGGUUCCAAUCGUAGUAGACUUAGCUGUCACCAGAAUGGAGUUCUGGGUUCUAACUCCAUAGCAGGCUCUAGGUCAGCCAAAGAAGAAUUCAAGUCUGAAAAAGUCUGGACAACACAGGGAACAGAGGUCCAAGGAAAUAACCAUGGAGACC
rnacentral:lncRNA from 1 species